CCUACGGGAGGCAGCAGUGAGGAAUAUUGGUCAAUGGACGAGAGUCUGAACCAGCCAAGUAGCGUGAAGGAUGACUGCCCUAUGGGUUGUAAACUUCUUUUAUAUGGGAAUAAAACAGGGUAUGCAUACCAUCUUGUAUGUACCAUAUGAAUAAGGAUCGGCUAACUCCGUGCCAGCAGCCGCGGUAAUACGGAGGAUGCGAGCGUUAUCCGGAUUUAUUGGGUUUAAAGGGUGCGUAGGCGGAAUAUCAAGUCAGCGGUAAAAUUUCGGGGCUCAACCCCGUCGCGCCGUUGAAACUGAUGUUCUGGAGUGGGCGAGAGGUAUGCGGAAUGCGUGGUGUAGCGGUGAAAUGCAGAGAUAUCACGCAGAACUCCGAUGGCGAAGGCAGCAUACCGGCGCCCAACUGACGCUGAGGCACGAAAGCGUGGGUAUCGAACAGGAUUAGAUACCCCAGUAGUC
rnacentral:rRNA from 1 species